rnacentral:rRNA from 1 species
CCUCCCCACCUCCGUUCUCGCAUCCCCGGUCCGUCCGUCGUCCCCUGCUCCACUCCACCCUUCUCCCUCCUUCCAUUUGACCCCGCUCCCCCGUCUCUUCCUCGGCAAAGCUUCGAAUUUUCCUCCCUCCCCCUAUCCCCAAGCCUCCCGCUUCCGUGUCCGCGUCCCGUCUUGGAUUCGUCCGCCGCGCCAACAAAGAAACCGCGUGCGUGCGUGCGUGCGCGUCGGUUCGGUCCCGUCCGGCCCUUGUUCCUUCCUUGCCGGCCGCUGCUUCGCGCGCAUUGCCGCCCCGCCCCCGCCCGCGGGAUUCCUCCGCCCAAUAAGUUCCUUUCCCGGGGACGUUUCUCGGAGGACGGACAGGAAGAAAAAAGCCGCGCGCGCUGCCUCGCCGCAUGGAUCAGGGUCCCCCGCGCUGCCGCCUGGAGCUGGGAUUUCGGGACGCGGGCGUUCAGGGGUUCCGGCCGGACGCCGCCGCCGCCGCGCCGCGGCAGGGCGGGAUCUCGGAGCUCUGUUGAGGCGUUCCGGGUCAGGUGAUUUAGUCCAGUGCUGUCCAGUUCCUCGUGUGGCUGCCUCGCCUGCUUUUUUUAGGGGGAGUCCAGUGAUUUGUUCCUGAUUCAUCCACUGGUUCUUGAGGGCUGAAUUUUCAGAUUCAACUCAGUAAGUUUGAGGCCAAAAGUUCUGUCAUCUCAGCACUAGGCAAGAGAGCUGAGCCUGGUGAGCCCUGGGCAGUAGUAGUCUGGUGCGGUGAUCUGGUUGUUGUGUCAAAAUGGCACGGGUAAGGAGGAGGCUGGAGAAGCUGAAGCUGAGUACAUUGUACAGCUUCGCGCUCUGCGCCAAGGGCUCCACCGAAGAUCACUCCAAGAUUGGCACGGCGGGGUUCUCCCGAGUCGUCUACGUCAAUGAUCCAGACAGGCAUGAAGAGGAGGGCUUCAGAUACCCAAGAAAUGAGGUGUCCACUACCAAGUACUCGUUGGUCACCUUCGUGCCCAAGUCCCUCUUUGAGCAGUUCCGGAGGGUGGCCAACUUCUACUUCCUCGUCUCGGGGAUCCUCACGCUGACCCCGCUCGCGCCCUACUCAGCGGUAAGCGCGCUACUGCCAUUGUCGGUCGUGAUUACGGCCACCAUGCUGAAAGAAGGGGUUGAGGAUUGGAGGAGGAAACAACAGGACAUUGAGCUCAACAAUCGAAUAGUAAAAGUACAUAGAGGGAAUGGCAGUUUUGAAGAGACAAAAUGGAAGUAUAUCAAAAUUGGAGAUGUGAUCAAGGUGGAGAAGGAUAAUUUCUUUCCUGCUGACUUGAUUCUACUUUCAUCUAACUAUCCGGAUGGGAUCUGCUAUGUAGAGACUAUGAACCUUGAUGGUGAAACAAAUUUGAAAAUUAAACAAGCUCUUGAGGUGACAUCGGAUUUACAAGAGGAUGGUGAUUUCACAAACCUUAGACAAAUAAUCAAAUGCGAAGAUCCGAAUGCGAAUCUUUAUUCUUUUGUUGGUACUAUGGAUUAUAAAGGCAUGCGGCAUCCUCUGUCACCCCAACAACUCCUUCUUCGGGACUCAAAGCUGCGGAACACUGAUUACAUAUAUGGGGCUGUCAUCUUCACAGGUCAUGAUACAAAAGUGAUGCAAAAUGCAACUGAGCCACCAUCUAAAAGAAGCAAGAUUGAGAAGAAAAUGGAUUACAUCAUUUACCUGCUGCUGUGUUCUUUACUUGGAAUUGCUUUACUUGGUUCAGUCUUUUUUGGUAUAUGGACUAAAGCUGAUUUAAGGAAUGGUGAGCUAAAACGGUGGUAUCUUCGCCCAGAUGAUUCGACCGUCUUCUAUGACCCGAAACGAGCACCUCUGGCAUCCUUUUGUCAUCUGUUGACAGCCUUAAUGUUGUACAACUACUUUAUCCCAAUUUCUUUGUACAUAUCCAUUGAGAUGGUCAAGAUCUUACAGGCUGUAUUCAUCAACCAGGACAUUGACAUGUAUGAUGAAGAAUCAGAUAAGCCAACUCAUGCUCGAACCUCAAAUCUAAACGAAGAACUAGGUCAAGUUGACACAAUUCUCUCUGAUAAGACUGGAACCUUGACCUGCAACAUGAUGGAGUUUAUCAAGUGUUCGAUUGCUGGCACUGCAUAUGGUCAGUCUGUCACAGAAGUUGAGAAAGCUAUGGCCCUGAGGAAAGGGGUGCCGCUAGGUGACGAGAUAGAAGCUGGAGGGCACAAGGAGAAACAAAUCGAGGAGAGUCCUCAUGUCAAAGGUUUUAAUUUGAAGGAUCCACGUAUAAUGGAUGGAAAUUGGAUACAUGAACCUAAUAAAGAUGUCAUCAGGGAUUUUUUCCGUCUGCUAGCCAUCUGCCAUACAUGCAUACCUGAAGUAGAUGAAACUGAUAAAGUUUCGUACGAAGCUGAGUCCCCUGAUGAAGCUGCAUUUGUUAUCGCAGCAAGAGAAUUAGGAUUUGAGUUUUACAAGAGGACACAGACAAGUAUAGUUAUUCGUGAACGCGAUCCUAACCAGAAUGUUGCAGAUUAUCAGUAUAGAAAAUAUGAGCUCCUAAAUGUCUUGGAAUUCAGUAGCUCACGAAGACGGAUGUCUGUGAUAGUGAAGGAACCAGAGCCAGAGGGGAGGAUAUUACUGUUUAGCAAGGGCGCUGAUAGUGUGAUGUUCACAAGGCUUGCACCAGAUGGAAGAAAAUUUGAGGAAGAGACUAAAAGGCACAUAAACGAGUAUUCUGAUUCUGGUCUAAGAACACUGGUUCUUGCGUACCGCGUCUUGGAUGAGAAAGAGUACGAGAACUUCGCUGAAAAAUUCAGGACUGCCAAAAUAUCUGGAAGUGCUGACAGAGAUGAACAAAUUGGGGAGGCUGCUGAUAGCAUUGAGCGGGACUUGAUUCUUCUUGGUGCUACUGCUGUUGAAGACAAGCUCCAGAAAGGGGUACCAGAAUGCAUUGACAAGCUUGCACAAGCAGGAAUUAAGAUAUGGGUGUUGACGGGUGACAAAAUGGAGACAGCUAUCAAUAUUGGAUUUGCAUGUAGCCUACUUAGACAAGGAAUGACACAGAUAAUCAUCGCCCUGGAAGCACCUGACAUCAUUGCAUUGGAGAAAAACGGAGACAAAGAUUCCAUUGCCAAGGCAUCAAAGCAAAGUGUUAUGGGUCAGAUAGAGGAUGGAAUAAAACAAGUCCCAACCUUGGGUCAGUCCAGUACGGAAUCUUUUGCAUUGAUAAUUGAUGGUAAAUCAUUAACUUAUGCUUUGGAAGAUGAUGUCAAGUUUAAGUUCUUGGAUCUUGCUGUCAAGUGUGCAUCAGUCAUAUGUUGUCGAUCUUCACCGAAGCAGAAGGCAUUGGUUACAAGGCUUGUUAAACAUUCAGAUAAAGUUACCUUAGCAAUUGGUGAUGGGGCAAAUGAUGUUGGCAUGCUUCAGGAAGCUGACAUAGGGGUUGGAAUUAGUGGUGUUGAAGGGAUGCAGGCUGUCAUGGCAAGUGAUAUUGCCAUCGCCCAGUUCCGCUUCCUGGAACGGUUGCUUUUGGUGCAUGGACAUUGGUGUUACCGACGUAUUUCAGUGAUGAUAUGCUAUUUCUUCUACAAGAAUGUGACUUUUGGAGUCACCAUCUUUCUGUAUGAAGCGUUUGCAUCCUUUUCAGGGAAGCCAGCUUAUAAUGAUUGGUUCUUGUCACUGUAUAAUGUAUUUUUCACCUCCCUACCUGUCAUUGCGUUGGGCGUAUUUGAUCAGGAUGUUUCUUCCCGUCUAUGUUUACAGUAUCCGGAGCUAUACCAAGAAGGUGUGCAGAAUGUAUUAUUCAGCUGGCGUCGGAUACUUGGCUGGAUGUUUAAUGGUGUCGUGAAUGCCAUCUUAAUAUUUUUCUUCUGCACUACCGCCCUGAAGGACCAAGCAUUUCGUCAAGAUGGCCAAGUUGCGGGCUUGGAUGCCCUAGGUGCUACCAUGUACACUUGUGUCGUAUGGGUAGUCAACUGCCAAAUGGCCCUCUCGGUGAACUACUUCACCAUAAUCCAACACAUAUUCAUAUGGGGUAGCAUUACUGUGUGGUACAUCUUCCUCAUGGUUUAUGGUGCUAUAGACCCAAAGUACUCCAAGACAGCAUACAUGGUCUUCAUUGAACAGUUGGCCCCAGCGCUAUCAUAUUGGUUGGUGACACUUUUCGUGGUGACGGCCACACUCGUCCCGUACUUCUGCUAUGCCGCAAUUCAGAUCCGUUUCUUUCCAAUGUUCCAUAACAAGAUUCAGUGGAAAAGGUACCUGGGGAAGGCUGAAGACCCAGAGGUGGCAAGGCAGCUAUCAUCACGGCACCGGACAUCGUCACACCAAAGGAUGGUUGGGAUCUCUGCUCGUCGCGACGGCAAGGCCAUGCAAGUUAAAAAGGGAACCGACGUAGAGGUUGAAGGAUGACAUUCUCUCAGUAGAUUUUGUGUUUUGUACAGAUUAUAGAAUGUCAUCUCCUGAAAGAUGACAGAAGAUGGACUGGCUAGAACUUGUGAAUAUUCUUGGAUUGUUGCUUCUAUGGUUCCAUGCAGUUCUUCCAGUUCAGAGGAUAGAGCUAGAUCACAGAAUUUCGUAGAUAGGCCACAAGAAGAACAAGAGAAGACCUGCUGUAAAGUUCAUGUAGCAAUUUAAGGCUGUGUGUGUGUGUGUGUGUGUGUUUUCCCCCUUCUCUUUUGCUCUUACCCCUGUUUAUGCUAGUGCUCUGAUGGCAGAAUUCACUUUGUUUCAAGGCUUUUGCGUUUUGCCACGUAACUGUUGUCCCUCUGUUUUACUCUAAACCAAUAAUGCUAUGGUUUCUAUAUAAUGAAAUGAUUGCACUGCAUUUCGCAG